rnacentral:tRNA from 1 species
GAGGGUAUAGCUCAGUGGUGGUAGAGUGUGUGCUUAGCAGGCACAAGAUCCUGGGUUCAAUCCCCAGUACCUCCA